UUUUAUGGAGAGUUUGAUCCUGGCUCAGGAUGAACGCUGGCGGCGUGCCUAAUACAUGCAAGUCGAGCGAACGGACGAGAAGCUUGCUUCUCUGAUGUUAGCGGCGGACGGGUGAGUAACACGUGGAUAACCUACCUAUAAGACUGGGAUAACUUCGGGAAACCGUAGCUAAUACCGGAUAAUAUUUUGAACCGCAUGGUUCAAAAGUGAAAGACGGUCUUGCUGUCACUUAUAGAUGGAUCCGCGCUGCAUUAGCUAGUUGGUAAGGUAACGGCUUACCAAGGCAACGAUGCAUAGCCGACCUGAGAGGGUGAUCGGCCACACUGGAACUGAGACACGGUCCAGACUCCUACGGGAGGCAGCAGUAGGGAAUCUUCCGCAAUGGGCGAAAGCCUGACGGAGCAACGCCGCGUGAGUGAUGAAGGUCUUCGGAUCGUAAAACUCUGUUAUUAGGGAAGAACAUAUGUGUAAGUAACUGUGCACAUCUUGACGGUACCUAAUCAGAAAGCCACGGCUAACUACGUGCCAGCAGCCGCGGUAAUACGUAGGUGGCAAGCGUUAUCCGGAAUUAUUGGGCGUAAAGCGCGCGUAGGCGGUUUUUUAAGUCUGAUGUGAAAGCCCACGGCUCAACCGUGGAGGGUCAUUGGAAACUGGAAAACUUGAGUGCAGAAGAGGAAAGUGGAAUUCCAUGUGUAGCGGUGAAAUGCGCAGAGAUAUGGAGGAACACCAGUGGCGAAGGCGACUUUCUGGUCUGUAACUGACGCUGAUGUGCGAAAGCGUGGGGAUCAAACAGGAUUAGAUACCCUGGUAGUCCACGCCGUAAACGAUGAGUGCUAAGUGUUAGGGGGUUUCCGCCCCUUAGUGCUGCAGCUAACGCAUUAAGCACUCCGCCUGGGGAGUACGACCGCAAGGUUGAAACUCAAAGGAAUUGACGGGGACCCGCACAAGCGGUGGAGCAUGUGGUUUAAUUCGAAGCAACGCGAAGAACCUUACCAAAUCUUGACAUCCUUUGACAACUCUAGAGAUAGAGCCUUCCCCUUCGGGGGACAAAGUGACAGGUGGUGCAUGGUUGUCGUCAGCUCGUGUCGUGAGAUGUUGGGUUAAGUCCCGCAACGAGCGCAACCCUUAAGCUUAGUUGCCAUCAUUAAGUUGGGCACUCUAAGUUGACUGCCGGUGACAAACCGGAGGAAGGUGGGGAUGACGUCAAAUCAUCAUGCCCCCUAUGAUUUGGGCUACACACGUGCUACAAUGGACAAUACAAAGGGCAGCGAAACCGCGAGGUCAAGCAAAUCCCAUAAAGUUGUUCUCAGUUCGGAUUGUAGUCUGCAACUCGACUACAUGAAGCUGGAAUCGCUAGUAAUCGUAGAUCAGCAUGCUACGGUGAAUACGUUCCCGGGUCUUGUACACACCGCCCGUCACACCACGAGAGUUUGUAACACCCGAAGCCGGUGGAGUAACCUUUUAGGAGCUAGCCGUCGAAGGUGGGACAAAUGAUUGGGGUGAAGUCGUAACAAGGUAGCCGUAUCGGAAGGUGCGGCUGGAUCACCUCCUUUCUAA
rnacentral:rRNA from 1 species